UACGUGGGGUCCAAGCGUUAUCCGGAAUUACUGGGCGUAAAGAGUUGCGUAGGUGGCAGAGUAAGUAGGUAGUGAAAGCGUCCGCUCAACGGGAUUAACAUUAUCUAAACUGCUCAGCUUGAGCAUAGAAGAGGUAGCUGGAAUUUCUAGUGUAGGAGUGAAAUCCGUAGAUAUUAGAAGGAACACCGAUGGCGUAGGCAGGCUACUGGUCUAUUGCUGACACUAAGGCACGAAAGCGUGGGGAGCGAACUGG
rnacentral:rRNA from 1 species